UUCAGCCUCUGCUUCAGUUGGCGACGGAAGCACGGGAUUCUUCAUAGCUGCUCCUGCAUGUUAAAAGUCUACUUCGAAAACUGGGCUGGUCAGAUUCAAGGAAUCGACUCUUUUGGAGUCGACUCCUCAUCAGUACUGCGCAAGUGCGCAUGUGCUUACAAAGAUCAUCACAUCUAUUCGCACGUGGAAGUGAUCGCCGCGGGAAAACCGAGUUCCUCCAUGGUUGUGUGAGGAAAGACAUCAUCCUCGCUGUCCACCAGCAGCACUGGAGCACUGGAACGUCUGUUAGCUGCAAGGGACUGGACCACUGAAGUCAGAUGAUUGAUCUUCAUGUCCAGUUCGUUAAGUGCCUCCAGAAUUGUCCUCUCAACAGCUGCAACACAUUAGAUGGGUGUUCACCCCAAGCAUCCUCAUUUUCAUUGGACAAGCUCACUGGAACAGCUGGAGUUAAGAAAGGUGAAGUUGUCUGGGAGUUCCUCUUUGUUAAAUAUAAUUGAGCAACCCCAUAGGUGGCGAUGUAUGCGCGCGCGCGCCAAUAAGCCAAUGGAUGAAGAAGUCGUCAGUCAGCAGGGCAAGCUGUGGUGGAGUGAUGGUUGAGAGACUUCUGUCCUGAUGUUUGGCUGUGGUCCCCCCAUCAUCCACUCUUCAGCAACCGGUCUAUUUAUGGAGACCACCAUGAUCUAAUCUAUACAGAUCUAGUUGUCUCUUCUCCCACAAACUCCUCUUUCAGUUAUGUUUUUUCUUUGUUGUUGUUUGUUGUUGUUUCAACAGUGUUGACUGUAUUUUUGUAUACCAAAA
ensembl:lncRNA